UGUUCUAUCUGUAUAAAUUAUAAGGUGUUUUCAGGAUACUUUAAGAAAUAGCUGCUGACUGGCUCAAAAAUAAACACAAGAAUUGUUCUGUUGGAAAGAUAGCUUUUGCAAAAAAACCUGUGUUAGACAAUAUCUACAUGACCAGUGAGCUAACCUAGUAUUUUUCAUUGACAUGUCAUCUCCACAUUCUUCAUCUUUCCACUAACUUUUCACUGUCUUUUUUUUUUUCCCUCCAGGAAAAGAGCAGGAAUUUAACCUAGUCUGCUAUGGAGGAAAAAUAAAGAAGUUGUCCAAAAUAUAAUUUUCUAAAAUACAUUACUGAAAACAGAAAUGGAAAAUAGAAAAGUGGGGAAGAGAUAGAGCCAUUUAAAAAGUCAGAGAGAAAAAAAAGGAGUGAUAGAAUGGCUUACAAGACUUAGGCUCAGAGGUCCCUGCUCCAGGCUAGAGCAGCCAGUGGAAGCACCAGCACCAGAGAUGAUGGAGUCAAAAUGACUGCUUUGCUGCUGCUGUAUGUACCUUGGAGCUGGAUUUUUCUAUGAAGUCUGUAGAAGCUUGUUACCAUGUUAAAUGCCCAGCUUUCAUGAAGUCCACACCUGAAGGAUGUCUUCUAAUGCUCCUACAGCUUCCUUCAGUGUUUGCUCAGGUUAUUGGUGUUUGAAUUAAUUCCUCUCAAAUGAGCCUGAUUUAGUAGCCAAAAGCUCUGGGGACUGCUUGGCAGCA